rnacentral:tRNA from 1 species
GGGGAUGUGGUUCAGUGGCAGAACACUUAGCUAGCACAUGCAAGGACCUGGGUUCAAGCCCCAGUACCACCA